CCUCGACGACCGCGGCCCAGUUUUGGCAGUAAAACUAAAUUUUAUUCGGUCUUCGCUGAGAGACGCGUCUACGCAGGUCCGUUUGUAGGGUUGCAUAUGCGUGCGUUUGUUUGCGGUCAAACGGGUGUGGGCGCACCGAUUCCCACUAUUGAUUAUGGCUCAGCUUGUUUGUUCUCUCCUUGGUGGGAAGGAGAUCCGCCGACCGCAAGCGAUGACCUUCCGCCGCAGUCGGCCCAGCGACUGCGCUAAAACACGAAGGAACGCAGGUGUGUGGAAGUACGGAGAGGUCGUACAGGGAUACUGCAUCACGCGCACGGCCCAUCAAAGCGGUUUGUGAGUUCACAUGAUUCACCUGGUGUCUGCGUGCCGUCCAAAUGGUGAGGAAGAGGAACGUGAAGGCUGAUGAGCUACACAGAUCUCCACGUCCAUGAGAGCGAACACUUGGGAUGGAAGGGAGAACGUCGCUGCACACCGAAUGGAGUGGAAUUAGAAGUUCAGUUUGCUGUGCUUUGAACUCAAUGGGGAGGUUUUCACACCCUGGUUUGGGGGGUACACCUGGUGAACAGUACUGCCCCUUCCCCCAGUUGAGGAUGACCUGUGAAAUAAUGGGAAAAGAGGUCCAUCCCUCAGAGGGAUUCAGAUCUGCAGCUACUGCAGCUACAACCCUUCCCCACCCAAACCCAAUGCUUCUUUGACUUUGAUCAUUUUUCCAGGUUAUGGUGGCCCUUGCAUCCAAAAAUCUCCUGU